rnacentral:rRNA from 1 species
CCUACGGGUGGCAGCAGUGAGGAAUAUUGGUCAAUGGGCGAGAGCCUGCACCAGCCAAGUCGCGUGAAGGAUUACGGCCCUACGGGUUGUACACUUCUUUUGUCAGGGCGCAAUUGGGUCCACGCGUGGGCUUAGCGAGAGUACCUGAAGAAAAAGCAUCGGCUAACUCCGUGCCAGCAGCCGCGGUAAUACGGAGGAUGCGAGCGUUAUCCGGAUUUAUGGGGUUUAAAGGGUGCGUAGGCGGAAUAUCAAGUCAGCGGUAAAAAUUCGGGGCUCAACCCCGUCGUGCCGUUGAAACUGAUGUUCUUGAGUGGGCGAGAAGUAUGCGGAAUGCGUGGUGUAGCGGGGAAAUGCAUAGAUAUCACGCAGAACUCCGAUUGCGAAGGCAGCAUACCGGCGCCCAACUGACGCUGAAGCACGAAAGCGUGGGGAGCAAACAGGAUUAGAUACCCGGGUAGUC